AACGAACGCUGGCGGCAUGCCUAACACAUGCAAGUCGAACGAUGCUUUCGGGCGUAGUGGCGCCCGGGUGCGUAACGCGUGGGAAUCUGCCCUUGGGUUCGGCAUAACAGUGAGAAAUUGCUGCUAAUACCGGAUGAUGUCUUCGGACCAAAGAUUUAUCGCCCAGGGAUGAGCCCGCGUAGGAUUAGCUAGUUGGUGGGGUAAUGGGCUAUCAAGGCGACGAUCCUUAGCUGGUCUGAGAGGAUGAUCAGCCACACUGGGACUGAGACACGGCCCAGACUCCUACGGGAGGCAGCAGUGGGGAAUAUUGGACAAUGGGCGCAAGCCUGAUCCAGCAAUGCCGCGUGAGUGAUGAAGGCCUUAGGGUUGUAAAGCUCUUUUACCCGGGAUGAUAAUGACAGUACCGGGAGAAUAAGCUCCGGCUAACUCCGUG
rnacentral:rRNA from 1 species